GAUGAACGCUGGCGGCGUGCCUAAUACAUGCAAGUCGAGCGAACAGACGAGGAGCUUGCUCCUCUGACGUUAGCGGCGGACGGGUGAGUAACACGUGGAUAACCUACCUAUAAGACUGGGAUAACUUCGGGAAACCGGAGCUAAUACCGGAUAAUAUAUUGAACCGCAUGGUUCAAUAGUGAAAGACGGUUUUGCUGUCACUUAUAGAUGGAUCCGCGCCGCAUUAGCUAGUUGGUAAGGUAACGGCUUACCAAGGCAACGAUGCGUAGCCGACCUGAGAGGGUGAGCGGCCACACUGGAACUGAGACACGGCCCAGACUCCUACGGGAGGCAGCAGUAGGGAAUCUUCCGCAAUGGGCGAAAGCCUGACGGAGCAACGCCGCGUGAGUGAUGAAGGUCUUCGGAUCGUAAAACUCUGUUAUUAGGGAAGAACAAAUGUGUAAGUAACUAUGCACGUCUUGACGGUACCUAAUCAGAAAGCCACGGCUAACUACGUGCCAGCCGCCGCAGUAA
rnacentral:rRNA from 1 species